GUAUCAUCUUAUAUAUUUUGUCAGCCAAAUUAUCACAACACAACUCAAACAGCAGAGAUUGAGGGAGACCCCUCUUCAAAUCCUCUCUCCCAUCAGGCAGCAGAGGGAACUGAACCAAGAUCUCACACGUCCCAGCCUCAUUUUAAACUGACUCAGGGCCUUCUUCCUGAUCUGGUAAACAGACAUAGGCCCAGGUCCGAAGAAGACCCCAACCCUUUGGGAAGGGUUGGAACAAGUAAGCCUGCUGAGGCCCCAACAGACUGUGCUUGCUCUAUGCUGAACCUCUGAUGAACUUGCCCCUGUUGGAGUUAAGAUGGCAUCUGUGUCUGAAGAGAAAAGCAAACAUGCUUGGGCAGUUGCUCUUUGCCAGGAAUAACACAGUGAAGGCAAGGAAAUACCAUUAUGAGAAGGGAAUGAAACAUGCAUCUCCACCCAAGAAAGGCAAUGGAGAGUGAGCCAAAACCUGAGAUUGCUCUGCCUUUCCCUUCCCAUUGGAUAUCUAGUGCCAGCUGCUCGAGUCCACCAUCAUCACAGCUUAGAGCCUCUGCAAUGAGACCUUAGAUCACCACUGCGUGUAAUGCAACAGUUAAUCCAAGAUGGCUGACAGCAGAAAAGAUUCAGGCACAAGUGCUGCCGGUGACACCAGUUGUUGAACCACUUCACAAUUUCUGAAGUCCUAUGAGAAGUGCCUGCUGAGCAUGUUGACUGAGAAUCUGGACUCGAGGAAGGUUAGUGGCUGAGAUCUGAAUCCAAUGGGCCACAGUUCCACA